UUAAACUGAAGAGUUUGAUCCUGGCUCAGAUUGAACGCUGGCGGCAUGCCUUACACAUGCAAGUCGAACGGCAGCACGGGUGCUUGCACCUGGUGGCGAGUGGCGAACGGGUGAGUAAUACAUCGGAACAUGUCCUGUAGUGGGGGAUAGCCCGGCGAAAGCCGGAUUAAUACCGCAUACGAUCCAUGGAUGAAAGCGGGGGACCUUCGGGCCUCGCGCUAUAGGGUUGGCCGAUGGCUGAUUAGCUAGUUGGUGGGGUAAAGGCCUACCAA
rnacentral:rRNA from 1 species